UACGAAGGGGGCUAGCGUUGCUCGGAAUCACUGGGCGUAAAGCGCACGUAGGCGGAUUCCUAAGUCGGGGGUGAAAUCCUGGAGCUCAACUCCAGAACUGCCUUCGAUACUGGGAAUCUUGAGUCCGGAAGAGGUGAGUGGAACUGCGAGUGUAGAGGUGAAAUUCGUAGAUAUUCGCAAAGAACACCAGUGGCGAAGGCGGCUCACUGGUCCGGUACUGACGCUGAGGUGCGAAAGCGUGGGGAGCAACAGG
rnacentral:rRNA from 1 species